GCAGAGGUUUAGCCCAGUGGUUACUUCAAGCCCUCACUAUGGUUUAUCUAAUCCUAACGGUCUCAGGGCCAGGGGUUCGGACCACGGGUGCCGUCCUCUGCUUUU